GAAUAUUGCACAAUGGGGGAAACCCUGAUGCAGCCAUGCCGCGUGUGUGAAGAAGGCCUUCGGGUUGUAAAGCACUUUCAGUGGUGAGGAAGGUUGGUAGUUUAAUACGCUACCAAAUUGACGUUAGCCACAGAAGAAGCACCGGCUAACUCCGUGCCAGCCGCCGCGGUAAUACGGAGGGUGCGAGCGUUAAUCGGAAUUACUGGGCGUAAAGCGUACGUAGGCGGCUUAUUAAGCAAGAUGUGAAAGCCCCGGGCUCAACCUGGGAAUUGCAUUUUGAACUGGUAGGCUCGAGUUUUGAAGAGGGUGGUAGAAUUUCCUGUGUAGCGGUGAAAUGCGUAGAUAUAGGAAGGAACACCAGUGGCGAAGGCGACCACCUGGACUGAUACUGACACUGAGGUGCGAAAGCGUGGGGAGCAAACAGG
rnacentral:rRNA from 1 species